UGGCCUAACAACCACCUGCCAGACACAG
rnacentral:piRNA from 1 species